GUCUGGGUGUGCUGUGUGUGCUCAGCUCCCUGGUGUAAUCCCGGGAGCUUCCCGGGGCCUCGGGUCGGGGACUCCUGUGUCACCGGACAGACAGUGGCCGCAGCCCCUGCUGUCAGGAUGUAGGCUCUUCAGGCAGGUGUUCCGUUUCACCGGGAAAGUUCCAGAAGCUGCUGUCCUCUUCAGCCGUGGCUGGCUGAAAUUCCCAAGGGAACGGGGAUGCUGUGGGGCGUCCCUUGUACGCGCUGCUUCCAGGCCGGACCCCUAGGACUCUGGGCGGAAGGGUCUCUGUUGCCAUGUGACCUCGUCGCCUGCGUGACUCAGUCUGUCAGCCAUUCUGGCGAGUUGAAGGACGUUCCAGUGCGUCAGGUCAGCGGGUUCCUCUCACGAUGGGGCCACGACUGUCCUCGCAAUCUCCAGCGUGUUGAAAAGGCAUCUGUCACGUCAUGAGGACACUCAAGGAGCCCCAUGGCGAGGUCCAUGUAGUGAGGAACUCAGCCCUUCUUAACAGCAGCCAGGAAAAAACUGAGGCCUCCCGCCAUUGGCCACUGAAUGGACAAUCUUGGAAACAGAUCCCUCACCCCCAGUCAGGUCUUCAGAUACUGUAGCCCUGGCUAAGAUCUUUGACUGCAACCUGAUGAGAGAUUAUGAGCCAGAACCACCCAGCCAAGCUGCUCCUAGAUUUCUGACCCGCAGAAGCAACUAUGACAAAAAGGCAGAGUUCUAGAAGAUUGAAAACGCAAAAUUGGAAAGCUUGGAUUAUAUAGAACUCUACAACCCAAAUCAGAGGGUACACACAUAUGGGCACAUAGGCACUUUCGAGCACGUGUGGGAUGGUUACAAAAUGUUUCCUGUGUACGAAGCCAAGGAAGGAAACUUUAAUAAACACCAGAGAAUAAGAUUCA